rnacentral:rRNA from 1 species
GGCGGCGUGCCUAAUACAUGCAAGUAGAACGCUGAAGGAGGAGCUUGCUUCUCUGGAUGAGUUGCGAACGGGUGAGUAACGCGUAGGUAACCUGCCUAGUAGCGGGGGAUAACUAUUGGAAACGAUAGCUAAUACCGCAUAAGAGUAGAUGUUGCAUGACAUUUGCUUAAAAGGUGCAAUUGCAUCACUACCAGAUGGACCUGCGUUGUAUUAGCUAGUUGGUGAGGUAACGGCUCACCAAGGCGACGAUACAUAGCCGACCUGAGAGGGUGAUCGGCCACACUGGGACUGAGACACGGCCCAGACUCCUACGGGAGGCAGCAGUAGGGAAUCUUGGCAAUGGACGGAAGUCUGACCGAGCAACGCCGCGUGAGUGAAGAAGGUUUUCGGAUCGUAGAGCUCUGUUGUAAGAGAAGAACGAGUGUGAGAGUGA